rnacentral:rRNA from 1 species
AUUGAACGCUGGCGGAAUGCUUUACACAUGCAAGUCGAACGGUAGAGGGGGCAACCCCUUGAGAGUGGCGAACGGGUGAGUAAUACAUCGGAACAUGCCCAGUCGUGGGGGAUAACGUAGCGAAAGCUACGCUAAUACCGCAUACGAUCUAUGGAUGAAAGCGGGGGACCGAAAGGCCUCGCGCGAUUGGAGUGGCCGAUGGCAGAUUAGGUAGUUGGUGGGGUAAAGGCCUACCAAGCCUGCGAUCUGUAGCUGGUCUGAGAGGACGACCAGCCACACUGUGACUGAGACACGGCCCAGACUCCUCCGGGAGGCAGACGCGGGGAAUUUUGGACAAUGGGCGCAAGCCUGAUCCAGCCAGUCCGCGUGCAGGAUGAAGGCCCUCGGGUUGUAAACUGCUUUUGUACGGAACGAAAAGGUGGCCUCUAAUACAGGUUGCUGAUGACGGUACCGUAAGAAUAAGCACCGGCUAACUACGUGCCAGCCGCCGCCGCGG